rnacentral:rRNA from 1 species
GGGGAAACACCCGUUCCCAUACCGAACACGAAGGUUAAGCCUAAGACGGCCGAUGGUACUGCAUUGGAGACGAUGUGGGAGAGCAGGUGGUUGCCG